CACAACCUCAUUGGCAGGAUAUCCUGCCACUCAAGCUGAGCACCUGGCUGUAUCUCUCUUGUCAAGUCCCUCCCCCCAUGUCAUACAGAGAAACGAUCCAAAGUGAAGAAGCCGAAGUUUGAGUUCCCUGUUUAUGAGCCUUCCCUCACGGUCGCAGACAGGGAAUGUCCAUCGAGGAUAUCGAAGACCAGAUGGAUGACUGGCUCGAGGAUAAGACGUCUCAGAAGAAGAAGGCACCGGAGAGGACAUCACUCUUCUGACAAGGAGUAGGGCCAAGUUCCCUGGGGGGGAACACCUGGACGCUGGGAGAAGAUCGCCCACGAACUAGGAAGAUUGGGUGACCAAUGAGGAGUGUAUGAUCCGUUUGGCUGAGCUGGUGCUGAAAAGGAAGCAGGCCAAGAGCUGACUCCCCCAUGGACCGCCAUCUUGAAUUAUUUUAUUUUUUAAAAUCCCCCACAAUGCAACAUUGCAGGGUGUGUCAAAACGUUUGACCGACCCCAGUUUAAGUCGUGUGUACACAGUUUAUUGCCUAAUCUAGCCCCUUUUCCUGGCUACUAUCACCUUCAAUGUGAUCUAAAAGGCCUGGAUAGAUGAAGGCAAUAUAUAAUGAAAAAUCCACAUACCAUAUGGUUGGGCCAUAUUGCUUCCACCUGUCCAGUUCUGUUAGAUCUUAACAGGAGAGGACCUGGGAGAAGGGACUAGCUCCACCCAAAGCAUGCCAUCCUGCCUCCUCUGGACUGUCACGUGAGGAGUGUUCAGUGCACCAACAAAGAAAUGUCUGUUUUUUGUACCUCAAAUAUGUUUUGACUUCUUUUUUGCUAUGUCAUUUUAAAUCACACAUGUACUGAAUAUAACUUGUUUGAGAUAAGGAAAUUGUUUUAUUUAUUUACAUGGAUGAGACCCAUUUAGUACAUUGAUGCACUGUUUGAAAUUUCAAUUUGA